GCCUGGCUGGCUUGGUUGGUAGAGUGUGAGACUCUCGACCUCAGGGUCAUGAGUUCAAGCCCUAUGUUGGGCG
rnacentral:tRNA from 1 species